AAAAAACCUCUGCUUGUCCUACAGGACUUGCUUAGCCUAAAUAUCACCUCUAUGUCAAACUUUUUUUAACCCUUCCAGGUCCACAUGUAUUUCUUAAUAUUUUGUAAAAAAUAAAAAAUAAAAAAUAAAAAAAAUAACCUCUAUGAAAAAAAUCACAUUGUUUUGAAUUUUUGGCAUGUAUGCAUUUCUAUAUCCUCUACUAGUAAUUGAGCACUUCCAGGAUAGAAGCUCAUCUUUCUCUCAGUCUUGACAUAAUAUUUAGUACUUGAAAUAUUCAUUCAGUAGAUAAAAAAUUUGGAGAACCAAGAAACAGUCUAUCAGUCAAUCAAGCUAUACUUUUUAAGGGAGGUGCUUGAAAAUAUAUAAUAAGAGCUAAUAUGUAUUCAGUGCUUACAAUGUGACAUUCCGUGUCCCAAGCUCUUUACUUCUCAUUCCAUCUUCCUAACAACCCUGUGAUAUGGGGAAACUGAGAGUUAAACCAAGUAUUUAACUCAAGUAUUCAGCUAACAAGCAGUGAAGCUGUCACUGGAAGCCAGGAAGUUGACUACACAGCUGAGUGAGUAACCUGAUGUCUUUUUUUCAUUUUGUUGGUAAUAAAUAUAAAAGUUAUUAAUGGAUAUGUAGCAAACAUCUAGGUAAAAUCACAAGUAUACACCUAUGUAUCUACAGCUUUGUGAAUUACUUUCUCCUUUGUGUUAUCUAUUUAUCCCUAGCAUUAUUUCCCUUAGGAACAGACUUAUUUUGAUGUACUAAUAAAACACUGCCUAGUCUAAGUGUAAUGAUUACAUUUUACUAAUUUGCAGUGAUUGAUUGCUUGUGACAUCAAAUUUACUUUUCUGUUUAGAUACUCAUUUUUUUUCCAAUGGCUUUGUAAGGUCCCUGACUUCAAGAUCCAUGCUUUAAAAGAACAAUGAUGAGGCUUUACCUCACAUUCACCUUCUUACCUCUAUAGCAUUCAUUCACUCAAUCAUUUAUUCAUUCAUUCAAUAUGACUGAUUAAAAUACUAGUUAGGUUUUUAAAUGGUGAUCUAAACAUUAAAAACUCAGAAAUCAUUGACCAAAAUCUACUUUUUUGUAAAAAUAUAAGUAUGUAGUUAACAAUAAAUGUUUAUUCCUGAGGAAAUGUAAUAUGAAUGUAUUACAUGGAAGUCAUAUUGUGAAGAAGUGUUCUCCUCUUAAUAGAUUCUAACCUAGACUUGGCACCUAAUCUCGUGAGCUGACAUUGACUCAAAAUUUUAGUUAUGUUUGUUUGUAAAUUAUUUGUAUUUGGCAAUAUUUACAGUUCAGAAUGAUCCAUGCAAACUCUUUAUUUCUGUUUUCUCUUUUAAAAAUCAGAUCUGCCACACUGGGCUUAUCUGUCUGCAAGGCACCAAUUUGUUCCUCCUGCAUAGUACCAGCCCCUUUAGACCAUGAAUAUAAUCUCCUUUCCCUCCAUCCUCCCCAACUCAUUUUGUCCAAUUUAGCCCAUUUCACUUAUUACAUAACCUGCCCCAUUCCUGCAGACAUUUAAUUUUGCACCCCAAAUUCCAAACUGACUUUAUUUUACAUAGGCACUACUAAAUAUCGUUUAUAAUUUAUCAUUUAUAAUUAUUAACCAUAACUGUCAUUAUUUAAAACUCUUUCUUUGCUUUUCAUUUCCUGAGCUUUAAAAUAAGUGGCACAGAAGAGGCCAAAAGAGCUAAGCUGUUUUGACAAGCUCUGUAAUAUCUUUGGAUUUUCAUACCCAGGUCAUAGUGCUUAAUGAAAGUGACUAGUCAUCCUUGACAUGUUAAGAACCACAGAGGAAUGCAAAGAAAAAAUUACAUGGCCUUCAGUUUGACAGCAUCAAUGUAUCUUAAAGUUAUAACUUUAUAACUUCAAUUUCUAUUUUCAGGUGCAACAAAGAACAUGAAAUCAUGCAUGAAAACUUUUAGGACAACAACAAAAGUAGUUUUCUUCAUCAAAGAAAAUUUGGAAAUGAGAUACAACUAUUAAAGAAAAAUGUAGUCUUGGAAGAUAAUUUCUAUUAUUAAAAGAUAUUUUUAGCAUACUGAGUUGAAGUCACAUUUUCAUUAAUAUUUUAAGCAUAAUGUUAAAUAUUUCAUAGAGGAAAAGAUAGUUAUUAUGAAGUUAUCUUU
rnacentral:lncRNA from 10 species